AGGAAACAAGACCAUCAGCAUCAGAAUAGUUUAAUUCCAAGUCCUUUUUGUUCCCUUCUAUUGUGGGGUUUACCACCCUUUCAUCAGCAAACAAACUGCACUUACUUUUGCCAUCAGGUUUGCAAGUUCUUCCCACAUUAUCUUCUUCCCUUGCCAGUUCCGUACUAAAUGAUGCAGAAGUUGCAGCCGAAACUUCUUGUGUAGGUUUUAGCAUAUCUGGCAAAUGUAUGUACUCAUCUAAAAAUUUGUUCAGUCUGCGACUCAUGUCGAAAGCUAAUUCUCCUGGUGAAUUCUCCAUACCUUCUUGCAUCACACGCCCAGUCUGCACUUCUGACUCUGAGUAGAAAGAACUUUGAGCAUGGCCAGGUUUCUCAUAGUUGUGAUGGUGUAUGUUGGCCAUUGACGAAUGGCCGCCCUGCAAUCCUUGUUCUUUGGAUUCAAAUUGCAGACUUCGUCGAACUGAUGAUGUUCUGCUUCUAGCUGCAACUCC
rnacentral:lncRNA from 1 species